UUAGUUAAGUGAAUAAGGGCGCACGGUGGAUGCCUUGGCACUAGGAGCCGAUGAAGGACGGGACUAACACCGAUAUGCCUCGGGGAGUUGUAAGUAAACAUAGAUCCGAGGAUUUCCGAAUGGGGAAACCCACUGUUCGUAAUGGAACAGGACUUAUGUCUGAAUACAUAGGGCAUAAGAGGCACACCCAGGGAACUGAAACAUCUCAGUACCUGGAGGAAGAGAAAGCAAAUGCGAUUUCCCAAGUAGCGGCGAGCGAAACGGAAACAGCCCAAACCAGAGAGCUUGCUCUCUGGGGUUGUAGGACACUCCACAAGGAGUUACAAAGA
rnacentral:rRNA from 1 species